rnacentral:rRNA from 1 species
UGCAGAGGUCCCAAGCGUUGUUCGGAUUCAUUGGGCGUAAAGGGUGUGUAGGUGGCGCCGUAAGUCGGGUGUGAAAUUUCGGAGCUUAACUCCGAAACUGCAUUCGAUACUGCGGUGCUUGAGGACUGGAGAGGAGACUGGAAUUCAUGGUGUAGCAGUGAAAUGCGUAGAGAUCAUGAGGAAGACCAGUGGCGAAGGCGGGUCUCUGGACAGUUCCUGACACUGAGACACGAAGGCCAGGGGAGCAAACGGG